CACGUAGGGCGCAAGCGUUGUCCGGAAUUAUUGGGCGUAAAGAGCUCGUAGGUGGUUUGCUGCGUCCGCUGUGAAAACCCAAGGCUUAACCUUGGGCUUGCAGUGGAUACGGGCAGGCUAGAGUUCGGUAGGGGAGACUGGAAUUCCUGGUGUAGCGGUGAAAUGCGCAGAUAUCAGGAGGAACACCGAUGGCGAAGGCAGGUCUCUGGGCCGAUACUGACGCUGAGGAGCGAAAGCGUGGGGAGCGAACAGG
rnacentral:rRNA from 1 species